GUGCCAGCCGCCGCGGUAAUACGUAGGGUGCAAGCGUUGUCCGGAUUUAUUGGGCGUAAAGAGCUCGUAGGUGGCCUGCCGCGUCGGAUGUGAAAACCCGGGGCUCAACCCCGGGCCUGCAUUCGAUACGGGCAGGCUAGAGGAUGGCAGGGGAAACUGGAAUUCCUGGUGUAGCGGUGAAAUGCGCAGAUAUCAGGAGGAACACCGGUGGCGAAGGCGGGUUUCUGGGCCAUUCCUGACACUGAGGAGCGAAAGCGUGGGGAGCAAACAGGAUUAGAUACCCUGGUAGUCCACGCCGUAAACGGUGGGUGCUAGGUGUGGGGAACCUUCCACGUUCUCCGUGCCGCAGCUAACGCAGUAAGCACCCCGCCUGGGGAGUACGGCCGCAAGGCUAAAACUCAAAGAAAUUGACGG
rnacentral:rRNA from 1 species